rnacentral:rRNA from 1 species
GACGUAGGAUGCGAGCGUUGUUCGGAUUUAUUGGGCGUAAAGCGUACGUAGCGGCUGCCUAAGUCUGGUGUUAAAGCUAGAGGCUCAACCUCUGUGAUGCACUGGAAACUGUGCGGCUAGAGUGCGGAAGGGGCAACUGGAAUUCUUGGUGUAGCGGUGAAAUGCGUAGAUAUCAAGAGGAACACCUGCGGCGAAGGCGGGUUGCUGGGCCGACACUGACGCUGGAGGCGCGAAAGCUAGGGGAGCA